UGGGGAAUAUUGGACAAUGGGCGAAAGCCUGAUCCAGCCAUGCCGCGUGUGUGAAGAAGGUCUUCGGAUUGUAAAGCACUUUAAGUUGGGAGGAAGGGCAGUAAGCGAAUACCUUGCUGUUUUGACGUUACCGACCGAAUAAGCACCGGCUAACUCUGUGCCAGCAGCCGCGGUAAUACAGAGGGUGCAAGCGUUAAUCGGAAUUACUGGGCGUAAAGCGCGCGUAGGUGGUUCGUUAAGUUGAAUGUGAAAGCCCCGGGCUCAACCUGGGAACUGCAUCCAAAACUGGCGAGCUAGAGUAGGGCAGAGGGUGGUGGAAUUUCCUGUGUAGCGGUGAAAUGCGUAGAUAUAGGAAGGAACACCAGGGGCGAAGGCGACCACCUGGGCUCAUACUGACACUGAGGUGCGAAAGCGUGGGGAGCAAACAGG
rnacentral:rRNA from 1 species